AGAAGCGAUCAUUCAGCAAAGUAAAAAAAUUUAAAAACUGCAAGGUUAAAAAAAACUGAAACAAGACCCACGUUGUGUACUCUUCAUCGGCGCUCUCUGUCUCUGAUCAUUCUCCUCUAUUUCGUCUUUCUUCCAGGUAUCUGCAAUUUUACAUCUCAGUAACUCGAUGCAUUUCCAGAGGCAACAUUAAUCUGAUUCUAUGUUCGUGCAUUCGGGGGUUCAAUUCGUCGGCCACAACAUUGUUAAACCAUGGGAGGAUUCUGCUAAUGUGAUCGACCAAGGGAGGUCAAAGAGCAGAAUUGCUCUACUUCAUCACUAUUUUUGAAGGUACGAGAGCAACAAUUUGUACCAAGACAGUACACUACAAGGAAAUACAGCAAUUUGUGGGAGUCAAACAACUUCUCAACCAAAUGCUUUGAACCCUGUGGCACAGCAGCUCUCGAAUGAUCUUAGCAUUGCAACUCAAGAAUUAAUGGCUUCUUCACAGCCAUGAAGGGUGAAGCAUCUACAAUUACUAUCUAUGGAGUUGCGCAAUGUGCUGAAACCAUAACAGAAAAUGGAUGCCAAGAUUGUUUGACAAUUGCAUACAAGAAUAGAGAAGGCUCUUUGCCUAAAUAUGUUGAAGGAAGGGCUAUAAAUUCAGUGUGUUUUAUAAGGUGCUCGGAUAAAACAUUUUUUUUUUUGUUGAUAACAAGACAACUGUAUCACGCCAUUUCUUGGUGGAGGACGUAGGAAAUGGACCUCCCUUUUUCUCACCUCUUACUAGUAUUAGUUUAUUCCAGUAUUUGUUUAACGGUAUAGCGAUUUUGUCAUAGGCACGUGUUUGUUUCCCUGUUUUCUUUUCUUCUCGAUUAAUAUAGAUAUGGAUUUGGACUAAAAUAUGGACUUUUAAAUUGAAAUUAACAUAA